rnacentral:tRNA from 1 species
GUGGCUGUGGCUCAGCGGUAGAGCACUUGCCUUGCAUGUGCAAUACUCUGGGUUUGAUCCUCAGCACCACA